rnacentral:tRNA from 1 species
CGGGGCGUAGCGCAGCUUGGUCCAGCGCGCCUGCUUUGGGAGCAGGAGGUCGCCGGUUCGAAUCCGGCCGCCCCGA